rnacentral:rRNA from 1 species
CUGGAGGUAUCAGAAGUGCGAAUGCUGACAUAAGUAACGAUAAAGCGGGUGAAAAGCCCGCUCGCCGGAAGACCAAGGGUUCCUGUCCAACGUUAAUCGGGGCAGGGUGAGUCGACCCCUAAGGCGAGGCCGAAAGGCGUAGUCGAUGGGAAACAGGUUAAUAUUCCUGUACUUGGUGUUACUGCGAAGGGGGGACGGAGAAGGCUAUGUUGGCCGGGCGACGGUUGUCCCGGUUUAAGCGUGUAGG